GGAAAGACCCCGUGAACCUUUACUACAGCUUGGCACUGAACAUUGAACCUACAUGUGUAGGAUAGGUGGGAGGCUAUGAAGACGUGACGCCAGUUGCGUUGGAGCCGUCCUUGAAAUACCACCCUUGUAUGUUUGAUGUUCUAACUUAGACCCAUUAUCUGGGUUGAGGACAGUGCCUGGUGGGUAGUUUGACUGGGGCGGUCUCCUCCCAAAGAGUAACGGAGGAGCACGAAGGUGGGCUAAUCACGGUUGGACAUCGUGAGGUUAGUGCAAUGGCAUA
rnacentral:rRNA from 1 species